UACGUAGGGUCCGAGCGUUGUCCGGAAUUACUGGGCGUAAAGAGCUCGUAGGUGGUUUGUCGCGUUGUUCGUGAAAACUCACAGCUUAACUGUGGGCGUGCGGGCGAUACGGGCAGACUUGAGUACUGCAGGGGAGACUGGAAUUCCUGGUGUAGCGGUGGAAUGCGCAGAUAUCAGGAAGAACACCCGUGGCUAAGGCGGCUCUCUAGUACGGUACUGACGCUGAGACGCGAAAGCGUGGGGAGCGAACAGG
rnacentral:rRNA from 1 species